UUAAAAAGCUCGUAGUUGGAUUUUGGUUAAGAGGGCGCGGUCGGCCGUUUGGUCUGUACUGCGUUGUCUUGACUUCCUGAUGAGGACAUGCUCUUGGUUAACGCUGAGACAUGGAGUCAUCGUGGUUACUUUGAAAAAAUUAGAGUGUUCAAAGCGGGCUUACGCUUGAAUAUAUUAGCAUGGAAUAACACUAUAGGACUCCUGUCCUAUCUCGUUGGUCUCGGGAUGGGAGUAAUGAUUAAGAGGAACAGUUGGGGGCAUUCGUAUUUCAUUGGU
rnacentral:rRNA from 1 species